GAAUCACAUGGUAAAACCUAAAAUUACCAUAUUGUAUGAAAUAGACUCCAUUAUUCAAAUUCAUUACAUGAGUAAUUACUUCAUAUUAAAGAGAUUCACAGUACAAAAUCAUCAUGUUGAGAAGGUAGCUUCCUCUUACAUGAGAGAAAGAAGAUCGGUCUGAAGAAGCACCUAUCCAUCAAACCAUUUUAACAAAAAUAAAUUACUUCUUCCCAAUGGUAGUGACAUGGGAAUGUGAUAUUCCCUCAAUCGUGUGAAAAUUGAAUUGUAUACCUUUUGGCAACCAAACGUGUAAUGCAAUAGAAUGUUGGAUUCCAAUUACAUUGGAUUAUGUUGGAAUCCAUGAGCUAAAACACGUAUGUAACAACAAAAAUCUAGAUAAAUCUAGUAGACAAAAACACAAUGGAAUGGAAUCCUAGAUUCCAAUUCCGUUGGAUUCUCCUGGGAUACACAACAAAUAUGGUGUAAGGAUACUGUUUUAUUCACGGAUUCCAGUGGAAUCCAAUGAUAUUCAAAUGUGAGAUUCCAUUUCAUGAUCUGUUUGGUUGCCCAAUUGAUGGAAUUGAAUUCAGUCAAUUUCGUCAAAAAAAAACCACCAAUACCUAUAUAUGAUGGAUUUCAUCAUUUCUAAAGUUGUCUUGAAUACCGGUGUUUCAAGAUGUGAAGAAACAUAUCACUGAAAAAACAGUCAACCCCAAAACUGGAACUGUGAACUCAUAAUAAUGAAGAUGCAAAAAUGGAGAAGUCAUAACAAAUGUUGAUGAAAAAAUUGUAUAAAAACCAACAGUGAUAGAUCUUAAUGAAAAAAAAUUGCAUAUCAAUUGGUCAGAAAAAACAUGGAACAAAAGUUGAAUAAAGAUUGCAAUCAACCAUUUUUUAUAAAUAUUUGUUUUUAAUAUGGCUGGAAUUGAGAUCCCAAAUGAAAAUGGUGCCUUUUCUACCGGUAUUUGUUUCUCAAUUUUGAGAUCUUAUUAAAGUUAAUCACACAUUAGGUGCAUUAAUGGAGCAGAUAUCCACAUACUAACAAACAAAAAGAACUUAUUACAAUAGAAAAGGAUAAUAAGUGUAGCAGGGAUACUUGUUUCACAACAAAGUUUAAGGAAAUUUCUCCAAUACCAAAAGCUAGAAGUUGAUGUAAGCCAAUAUCUGCAACAGCCUACCAAAAGAUCGUUGAAAAGGGUAAACGAUAAAAUAAAAAGAUUUGAAGUACGAUUAUCAUCCCUUUGAGGCAUAUCAACAAACACCUUGCAUGCUAAAACCAAUAGAAUAAAAAUUCUAGCUCCAGAUGGUGGAAAACAUAUAUAAGAUGUAGGGAACUGAUAAAUGAUACAAAAAUAAGCAUCUUCAUAGAAUUGUCUGAAAUAUAAGUAAAAAAAUACGAACCAACUGAAGAAAGGUUUUUGUUUUAAGCACUUAUACUCUUUAACUUGAAUGAAUGUGUAUAUAUCUGACCUCCUACCUCCGAUGAAACCUGUAAGCAAAAUCGAUAUACCAAAAAACUAUCCCAUGCCGUCGCAAAAAGAUAUAGUCUGCAAGGUAACACAAACAAUUUCCAAUUUGAGACAUGUGAAAUGAUAUUUCUUUCCUAAAAGUCAAAAAAUUAACCUAAAAGUUCAACAAUAAGAAAGUCGAUUCUAGUGGUUCAGAGAAAAAUGGCUUGUGCAGUGGUUCAUGGAGUUUCCUUCUGAUCGAAAUCAACUAAACUUUUAUCUUCUUUGGCUUGGAAUUUCAGAAAGAGGGAGAGAAAAGAUGAUGGAAAACGCACCUGAAGAGCCGAUGUCUGUAUUCAAUUUAUUUCGUUUCGACUUUGGGUCCGGUCAACCGGAAGAAAGCCGAUAACUUCCAUUCGCUGUGGAACUUGGUUGUGCAAAGAAGAAUCAAAUCAAACAGAGAUGAAGGAAAUCAAAAUCAAACAUUUUAAGAAUAAAACCUAGCAAUUGACAGCCAAAGCAAAGUCCACAGAUCGUACUGCUCAGCUAUUAAGUGCACUUAAGCAAGGUAGAUAAGGCAAUGGAAAAGAAGCGAGACCCUGCGAAGCAUCGCGUAAAUGGUUCCAUGCUGGGGAACAGAAAGGUUUUUUACUCAUGAGUUACGAUUAUUUUUGAGAUGGAACAGCUAAAGAGCCG
rnacentral:lncRNA from 1 species